AGUACGUACUUUAUGUGCACAAUAAUCAUAAAAACUGUCGUUCUUUGCUUCACGAAAAGAAAAGUUUAAGGGUAAACAGCUUUACGCAUCAUCCAGGAAGGAGCUCAAGCCUGGAAAUAGCCAUAUAUUGUCUUCUUGCGUGAUGUGCCUGUAAUGAGAAACCAAUUUCAGUACGUAUAAAUAUAUAAAACCGAUUCUAGCAUUCAAGUUGAUUUGCGAAGGCUUAAUUUCUUGUUGUAAUAUUUUGAGCUUUCCUUAUCCAUAUGGGAAAGGAUAAUGCUAGGAAGAACAAAUUUGUAAACUAAAUUUUAUAAAUCAAAUGAUAUCGAAGUGGAUGAUUGAAUUAUUACUUAGGAUAAUGCUAGGGAGACUAAAUUUAGAGACUAAAUUUGCAAACUAAAUGAUGUGUCUCCAAUGGGAAUGAACAUGUUUUUCAACGCUUAAAUAAUAAACCAAUCAUCAACUUCAAUGUCCUUUAGUUUUCAAAAUUUAGUCUAUAAAUUUAGUUUCCUUAGCAUUACCGUAUUACUUAUUAAGUAGUGCUAGAAAGACUAAAUUUGUAGACAAAAUUUUGUAAACUAAAUGACAUGGAAGUUGAUAAUUGAAUUAUUAUUUAAGUGUUAAUAAACGUGUUUAUUCAUAUUGGUGACACAUCAUUUAGUUUACAAAUUUUAUCUAUAAACUUAAUCUCCUACUAUUACCCUUAUUUAAUAAUUAAUUAUCAUACUUAUUUCUUACCAUUUUUGUUUGGAAGCCCAGUCCUUGUGAUUAAGACUAGCUAAUCUACAUUCUUCUGGAGGGGGCACCUCAUUUCUUGUGUUAAUGCUGAUAAGGAUUUUGUCCCUCUUAUCCUUUUCUCCGUACCACCGAAGAUCUAAAAAAGAAAACCAAGAUUCUUACCCUUUCUCUAUUUCCCUGUGCAAAAGCCAUGCAACAAAUACAUAUUUUAUAUUUUCACAAUAAUUGUGAGUAACUCGUGAUUUUUAAUGUUUGCAAAGUUGUAAAUAACUGCCAUAACCAAGAUCCCAAUCCUUUUUUAUUUCCUAGUGAAAACAAAUGUGCAAUGUAUAUGUAUUUUGUGUUUCACAUAAAACUACAUGAGUUGUAACUCACGGUUAUCAAUUGGUUUAGCAAAGUUCUAAAAAGUCUUCUUAAAAAUGGUUUCUUGUCAGUUUUGUUGCACUGCAAGUUACUAAAAUUCACGUUAGACAUUUGGAAGAUGUUUUAGCCCUAGAAAAGCUGAUAUGAGUCUUGCUAACGUUAUUUAUUGAUUGUUAUCCUUUCCAGCUUAAAAAUCAAAACAAACACAAAUGAUGUGGUGAAAACUCAACGGUAAAUUCACAAAAUUUAUGAGUUGUAACUCACAUUUUCUCUACACCUAAUACUAUCUCGUGCCAUUUUUGGCACACAUUUUCUCGACCAUCGCAUUUUCACAUAGACAAUAUCAUAUAACUCAGGGUUUAUAAGCGAUUAAAUUUCAAGCAAGACAUUUGAGAGAUGUUCUAGCCGCCAAAAAUCUACUUUGAGUCAGCUAGUAAUUUGAUUUUAUUGAUUUUUAAAUGUUCUAGCUUAAAAAAUAAAAAAUGGUAAUUUAUACUGCGUGUGUACGUAAAAGAUCAUGCAAAUUAAGCUCAACAAUAGCAAUUCUCACAAAAAUUGUACAAUUUUGUGAAUUUCUACUAAAACUAUCAUAAAAAAAUAUUUUCUUUUCAUUUUGCACCAUAACAUUAGACAACUUCAAAGAUCACCAGAAAAUUUUAAUUAGUUAUGUUUGUUUGAUUUUAUUGGUAAUUGGAUUUAGAUCCUACUAGUGUAUUUUGUAUGGGGGUCCACCACAACUCUUUAGACUUUCGGACGGAACUAAUGAUUGCGUUAUGUAUGAGCAGUGGCCAACAAUGUCAAAUGUAUUUUAUCGUCCUCCUGAUGCGGUUGAGGAGCUUUGCACUUGCUUGUCAAACUCAAAACACAAAGUGUGGAUAAAACUUAUUGGUUUUAGGGUUUUUAUAAUUAUUUUUAUGAUUAUUGGUUAUUUAAAUUAUUUAAAUUGAGUAAAAAAUUAUGAUUAAUUUAAAUAAUGUGGUUGUCCAUAUUAAAUGAUACCUACCAUGGUAAGAAUAACAUUAUAUAUUGAAAACCAUAAAUAUUAGUUUCGCAACCCAUCGUCUUAUCAUUUUUUUUUUAACAAAGGAUAUUAUUUACACUAAAAGAAUAUGGGUGGGCUAAGCCUCAUAAUGAGCCAGUUAUAAUAAUGUGGUUCAUAUUCGGUUUUGAAUCUAACAUGCCUCUCACUUACAAGUGAAGAUAAAUAUCACCAGACCAUAACUAAGUGGCUUGUCUUGUCAUUUAUUUAUUCAUUACGACUAUUUAGUAUUACAAUAAUUUUCUCAUUUAUUAACUUAUUAUAUCAGAGCAAACGUUGUUUAGAUAAAUAACAUAUUUGAAUCCAAGGCAAUGAACCUGUCACAUCCCGGCCCGGGGCGGACCACAUCCCGAGCCCUGUUCCACCACCGUAGCACGAUAUUGUCCGCUUUGGGCUUACCAUUCCCUCACGAUUUUGUUUUUUGGAACUCACGAGCAACUUCCCAGUGGGUCACCCAUCCUGAGAGUGCUCUGUCCUCCUUCUCGCUUAACUUCAGAGUUCCUACGGAACCCGAAGCCAGUGAGCUCCCAAAAGGCCUCGUGCUAGGUAGGAAUGAGAAUAUACAUUUAAGAAUCACUCCCCUAGGCGAUGUGGGAUGUUAC
rnacentral:lncRNA from 1 species